rnacentral:rRNA from 1 species
CUAAUCCCUUAAAGCUACUCUCAGUUCGGAUUGUAGGCUGAAACUCGCCUACAUGAAGCUGGAGUUACUAGUAAUCGCAGAUCAGAAUGCUGCGGUGAAUGCGUUCCCGGGUCUUGUACACACCGCCCGUCACACCACGGGAGUUGGAGACGCCCGAAGCCGAUUAUCUAACCUUUUGGAAGAAGUCGUCGAAGGUGGAAUCAAUAACUGGGGUGAAGUCGUAACAAGGUAGCCGUAUCGGAAGGUGCGGCUGGAUCACCUCCUUUCUAAGGAGA